rfam:Phlebotomus papatasi Contig7967.1, whole genome shotgun sequence.
UAUAAAAUGAUGAUGAAUGUCGACUGAUUGUGAAAUAUUUCUCUAUUCUUGAGAUAUAUUUUACAUUGUCCAUUUGAUGUUACUGAGGCAUUUGUCUGAUUAUGAA